GCAGCAGCAACAGCACUAUCGACAGCAGCAGCAGCAACAACAACAACAAUACUAUCAGCAACAUCAGCAGCAAAAUCGCCCUUACGCCAAAGUGCAAGAAGGGCAAAUGAACCCUUUGUUUCAACGGGAACAAAAUAAAGCAAUUGCUGAAGGAACAUUACUAAAACCACACCAAGCUUGGCCGGCUGCCUACAACGAGGGAUACACAUGGCAACAGUAUAUGAACAAUCAACCUGACAGCAAUCCAGCUUAUAACUCACAAGGAGGUUGAAUCUGGAAGACAAAACUACCAAGAAAGGAAGUUGCAAGAUAAAAUAAGAUAAUGAUCGUAUUUGGCAUAAUGAUUAAGAGAUACUUUGGCCAUUAUCUGUUAAAAGAUGGACUGCAUAAAAAGUAAAUGUCCUCCGAUCACAAAGAUACCGUGAUGGAAAAGUAAAAUGAUGUAAAACUGAGACUUCUCAUAAAGACAUGUUGUGAAGGAGAGUAACAGAAUCCCUUUGCAUAUACCACCUAUAUCUACAAUGUUGCCAAUAAAGUUUGAAUAUAUUAUUGUUCUUGCCUCUUUUCAUAAAGUGAUCGUGAAUUUUAAAAAUAAAUCUUGAUGACCCUUUACUGCCUACAUCUAUUUGGUCCAGAACCAACUAGAUGCACUUAGAAAAACAAUUUUUAACCUGUUCCAUUAUCUUUACCAACAAUGUAUUGCGUGCUUUAUAACUUAAAUCAGGUAUUUAAAAAAAAACAAAUACAUUUCAGAAAACCAGAAGAUUGACCAAACCGAAAAAGGGAGCGGGAGACAAAAAAGAUCCACACCACAAAUCAGACAAUCUGUUGAAUCAAGGCGCGUACGCAGGAUUUUUCAAGGGGAGGGGGGGGGG